GCUUAUCAUGCAUGAGAUUCCUUACAUUUAGAAAUUUUGAAUGUAAAGAAGAUAAAAUGAAUAAAAAUAAUUAAUAUGUAAUUGAAAUAAAUGGAAAACUAGAGCGAAAAUUGAUGAGCAUAGAAAAUAUAUAUAGAUGCGCAAACUGUUGGAAUCUAUGAGUUGGGAUUGUUUGUUAAUUUCCCAGUUCCCAUGCUUUAAGAAUUCAACGACCUGUAAUAUCUACUGAAGCUAUCAGCUGUUAAAGAUGUCUCCAUCACUCUGCAACUACAUGUGUGAUUACUCCGCAACCCUAGACUGCAACAAAAGCAUACAGCUUUAGUAGGCGCCUCAGAGAAUACAUAUGCCAAGUUUUGCUGUUGCGGUUGCUGCUGUUGGUCGUGGUGGUGCUGCUGCUGAUGGUGGUUUGAUUGCUUCUGCUUAAUAAAAUUUAUAGAUGAAACUUGAGGCUGGUGAUAUGAAAGGCCUAUAGAUAGCUCAAGAUUGAUUUCUGGGCAAACUUCCUCUGUGGUCACUCCACUGCUGCUGUUGGAAUCUUCAGCUGAUGAAUCUGUGCGAACCUUUAUAUUGGAAUUGCAUAUCUUCAUACUACCGAUACACUCUGGCGCUUGCACAAAUUGUGCUAAUGAAUUGUGUGUUUCUAUUUUAGAAACAUUGAUGCUGCCCUUAUUAUUUUUGUUAUUGUUGCUGCUGCUCCAGCAAUUGCUGAGUGCCGCCGAGGCUGUGGUGGUGGUGGUGGUGGCGGUGAAAGGGGAGGAUCGACCUCAACUAGGGGAAGGGGGCCCACGACUCCUGCUCCACCUCACACUGUUCCUCGGAGAUCUGAUGUCCCUGAAUCAGAACCUACUCUCUCUGGUACCAGCAUUCGACCUGUGAAUAUUUCAGAACAUUUGGCUUCUCCUUCUUCUCCUUCGGAUACUACCACUAGGGUUGUCCCAGUUAAACGGCCAGAUAAAGGUGGCACACUGGCCAUCCGAACUGCUAGCCUUCGUGUAAAUCAUUUCCCUGUCAGGUUCAAUCCUGAGAGUAUCAUAAGGCAUUAUGAUAUUGAUGUUAAACCAGUUGUGCCACCCAAGAAUGGUCGUGCUGUGAAAAUAUCAAAGUCUGAUUUGGCAGUGAUCAGGAAUAAGUUAUUCACUGAUGAUUCCUCUCAGUUUCCCUUGUCCAUGACUGCCUAUGAUGGUGAGAAAAACAUUUUCAGUGCUGUUCCUUUGCCCACCGGAAAGAUUAAGGUGGAGUUCUCUGAGGGGGAAGACAUGAAGGAUCGUGCUUACACAUUUAAUAUAAAGCUUGUGAAUGAACUUAAGCUUUGCAAGUUGAAGGAUUACUUAACUGGGAAACUGUUUUCAAUCCCUCGUGACAUAUUGCAAGGGAUGGAUGUUGUAAUGAAGGAGAACCCAGCGAGGCAUAUGGUUUCUGUUGGCCGCAGCUUUCAUUCAACUGAAGCUUACAAAGAAGAUCUUGGAUUUGGUAUCACAGCGUCCAGAGGUUUUCAGCAUAGCCUCAAGCCCACCUUCCAGGGUCUAGCCAUGUGCUUGGACUAUUCUGUACUGGCAUUUCGCAAGCGACUUCCAGUGAUAGAUUUUCUUAGAGAGCAUGUUCCUGGGUUUAACUUAAAUGAUUUCAGAAGCUGUGGAAGAGAUGUUGAGAAUGCAUUGAAGGGACUGAAAGUUACAGUGACUCACCGCAUUACCAAACAAAAGUAUACUAUUGCUGGACUUACAAAGGAUAAUGCACGUUAUCUUUCAUUUUUUUCUGAAGACCCAAAUAGCAAAGCUCCACCAAGGAAAGUUAUUCUUGUUGAAUAUUUCAGGCAAAAGUACCAGGAUAUACAAUUCAAAGACAUUCCUUGUCUUGAUUUAGGCACAAACAACCGAAAAAAUUAUGUACCAAUGGAGUUCUGUGUCCUGGUUGAGGGUCAGAUUUAUCCAAAGGAGAAUUUGAAUCGAGAUGUGGGCCUCUAUUUGAAGAAGAUAUCCUUGGCAACUCCAAGGGACAGGCAGAGGAUAAUAUGUGAUAUGGUAGCUGAUAGAGAUGGGCCUUGUGGUGGAAACAUAAUCCAGAAUUUUGGAAUGGAAGUUGACAUGGAUAUGACUUCAGUGCUAGGGCGUGUGAUUGGGCCACCGGAGUUGAAGCUAAGUGCUUCCAAUGGAAGGGUGAUAAAAAUUGCUGUUGACAAGGAAAAGUGCCACUGGAAUCUUGUUGGAAAAGGAGUGGUGGAAGGGAAACCAAUUGAUCGGUGGGUUGUGAUUGACUUUAGUUCCUCUGAACGUGGUCGUUACAAAUUAAGGCCAGAGCAAUUCAUUCCAAAGCUUAGAGCUCGGUGUGAGAAUCUGGGGAUCUCUAUGAAAGAGCCUCUCUUUUGUCAUCCUGCUAAUAUGCAUAAAUUCUCAAGUGCUGAUUUGCUUCGUGAUCUUCUUGAAGUUGUUAAUGAUCGUGCUUAUAAGAUUUGCAGGGGCCAGUUGCAAAUUAUUAUUUGUGUGAUGUCUAGGAAGGAUUCUGGUUACAAGUAUCUUAAGUGGGUUUCUGAGACAAGAGUUGGUGUAGUGACUCAGUGUUGCUUGUCUGAUCAUGUCAACAAUGGGAAUGACCAGUACUUUGCUAAUCUUGCUCUGAAGAUCAAUGCAAAACUUGGAGGUAGCAAUGUCGAGCUUAUUGAUCGACUUCCAUUUUUUGAAGGUGAAGGCCAUGUUAUGUUUAUUGGGGCUGAUGUUAACCAUCCUGGCGCCCGGAACAAAACAAGUCCAUCUAUAGCUGCUGUUGUUGCUACUGUAAAUUGGCCUGCUGCAAACCGCUAUGCAGCUCGCGUUCGUCCACAGUAUCAUCGUAAGGAGAAGAUUCUGAAUUUUGGAGAUAUGUGUUUUGAGCUUGUGGAAACUUAUGUUCGGCUGAAUAGAGUCAAACCAGGGAAUAUUGUAAUAUUCCGAGAUGGUGUAAGUGAGGGCCAGUUUGAUAUGGUUCUCAAUGAAGAGCUUAUGGAUCUCAAGAUGACAUUUGAAGCAUUGAAUUACUUCCCAACCAUCACUGUCGUUGUUGCGCAGAAGCGACACACAACUCGGCUGUUUCUAGAUAGCGACAAGGAUGAAAAUGUGCCUCCAGGCACUGUGGUGGACACAAAAAUUACGCAUCCUUUUGGAUUUGACUUCUAUCUUUGCAGCCAUUAUGGUCAUAUUGGAACGAGCAAGUCAGCCCACUACCAUGUGUUGUGGGAUGAAAAUGGGUUUACUUCUGAUGAAUUGCAGGAGCUUAUUUACGCCAUGUGCUUCACCUGUGCUCAAUGCACUAAGCCUGUCUCACUGGUGCCUCCAGUGUGGUACGCUGACCGUGCUGCUUAUAGAGGUCGGCUUUACCAUGAUUCAAUUGAGUGGUAUCAGUCUUCAGCUUCAACACCAUCUUCAUCAUCACCAUCUUCAAGAUCAUCAAUGGCUUCUUUUGAUGAGCAGCUGUACAAGUUGCACCCUAAUCUGGAAAACUCGAUGUUUUUCAUUUGAGGCAUCUCCUCCUCUUUUCACAAGAAGGGACAGGAGAUAGAUACAUGUUUUCAAUCAAGAUUGCCGAGUUGCAUUUCCAAUCUACAGGCUGGAAAAGCAGUUUGUGCGUGAAUCUAAUGGGGUUGAAGUUUGUGUCUUUCCAGUAAAGUGUUUCCUCUCGAGUUCUCAUGGAAUAUGCAUGCCAGAGCCAUUUGAAUUUAGAGGGAUAUAUGUGUUUUGUGUUAGUUUGUCAGUGUUUAUUUGGAUUAAGUUUGUAUCUGAAGUCUUAUCACAUCUGUAGCGGUUGUGUUUGGAUGUUUUGCUACUGGUCCUUUUGAAGUCUGUCAAUGUUUUUCUUUUCCUUGCUGCCUCAUAUACGAGUUGAGCAAGGAGAUAGUGUAGUAUUUGAUGCUACAUUGCUAGUCUUAUCAUUGUCAGUGAAUAAAAAUACCAUUACUGGUUUCUUUAUUACCAUCUUCAUAUGAUUUGAAUAAAUC
rnacentral:misc_RNA from 1 species